CCUACGGGAGGCAGCAGUAGGGAAUAUUGCUCAAUGGGGGAAACCCUGAAGCAGCAACGCCGCGUGGAGGAUGAAGGUUUUCGGAUUGUAAACUCCUUUUGUUAGAGAAGAUAAUGACGGUAUCUAACGAAUAAGCACCGGCUAACUCCGUGCCAGCAGCCGCGGUAAUACGGAGGGAGUAAGCGAUACCCGGAAUCACUGGGCGUAAAGAGCGCGUAGGCGGGAUAGCAAGUCAGAUGUGAAAUCCUAUGGCUUAACCAUAGAACUGCAGUUGAAACUGUUAUUCUAGAGUAUGGGAGAGGUAGGUGGAAUUCUUGGUGUAGGGGUAAAAUCCGUAGAGAUCAAGAGGAAUACUCAUUGCGAAGGCGACCUGCUAGAACAUAACUGACGCUGAUGCGCGAAAGCGUGGGGAGCGAACAGGAUUAGAUACCCUAGUAGUC
rnacentral:rRNA from 1 species